rnacentral:rRNA from 2 species
AUUCAGCGGCGGACGGGUGAGUAAUGCCUAGGAAUCUGCCUGGUAGUGGGGGACAACGUUUCGAAAGGAACGCUAAUACCGCAUACGUCCUACGGGAGAAAGCAGGGGACCUUCGGGCCUUGCGCUAUCAGAUGAGCCUAGGUCGGAUUAGCUAGUUGGUGAGGUAAUGGCUCACCAAGGCGACGAUCCGUAACUGGUCUGAGAGGAUGAUCAGUCACACUGGAACUGAGACACGGUCCAGACUCCUACGGGAGGCAGCAGUGGGGAAUAUUGGACAAUGGGCGAAAGCCUGAUCCAGCCAUGCCGCGUGUGUGAAGAAGGUCUUCGGAUUGUAAAGCACUUUAAGUUGGGAGGAAGGGUUGUAGAUUAAUACUCUGCAAUUUUGACGUUACCGACAGAAUAAGCACCGGCUAACUCUGUGCCAGCAGCCGCGGUAAUACAGAGGGUGCAAGCGUUAAUCGGAAUUACUGGGCGUAAAGCGCGCGUAGGUGGUUCGUUAAGUUGGAUGUGAAAUCCCCGGGCUCAACCUGGGAACUGCAUCCAAAACUGGCGAGCUAGAGUAUGGUAGAGGGUGGUGGAAUUUCCUGUGUAGCGGUGAAAU